GACAGAGGCCCCGAGCGUCAGGCGGAAUCACUGGGCUUAAAGCGUGUGUAGGCGGAUCGUUAAGUGUCUUGUGAAAUCCCACGGCUCACCCGUGGAACUGCUGGGCAUACUGGCGAUCUUGGGCCAUUCAGGGGCGACUGGAACAAGCGGUGGAGCGGUGAAAUGCGUAGAUAUCGCUUGGAACGCCAAAGGUGAAAACAGGUCGCUGGGGAUGUGCCGACGCUGAGACACGAAAGCCAGGGGAGCAAACGGG
rnacentral:rRNA from 1 species